CCUACGGGAGGCAGCAGUGGGGAAUCUUGCACAAUGGGCGAAAGCCUGAUGCAGCAACGCCGCGUGCGGGAAGAAGGCCCUAGGGUUGUAAACCGCUUUCAGUAGGGAAGAAAAUGACGGUACCUACAGAAGAAGGUGCGGCCAACUACGUGCCAGCAGCCGCGGUGACACGUAGGCACCAAGCGUUAUCCGGAUUUAUUGGGCGUAAAGAGCUCGUAGGCGGUUCGGUAAGUCGGGUGUGAAAACUCUGGACUCAACCCAGAGAGGCCACCCGAUACUGCUGUGACUAGAGUGCGGUAGGGGAGCGGGGAAUUCCUGGUGUAGCGGUGAAAUGCGCAGAUAUCAGGAGGAACACCAGCGGCGAAGGCGCCGCUCUGGGCCGUAACUGACGCUGAGGAGCGAAAGCAUGGGUAGCAAACAGGAUUAGAUACCCUGGUAGUCCAUGCCGUAAACGUUGGGCACUAGGUGUGGGUCUCAACCAACGAGAUCCGCGCCGUCGCUAACGCAUUAAGUGCCCCGCCUGGGGGAGGUACGGUCGCGAGAACGAAACUACAAANAGUAAGUUAGUACGCGUUGUAGACGUUGCCGAACGGACGACGACGAGGGAGGAGG
rnacentral:rRNA from 1 species